UACGAGGGGGGCGAGCGUUGUUCGGAAUUAUUGGGCGUAAAGGGUGCGUAGGCGGUUUGGUAAGUCUUGUGUGAAAUCUACAGGCUCAACUUGUAGUCUGCACGAGAAACUGCCGGGCUUGAGUAUGGGAGAGGUGAGUGGAAUUCCUGGUGUAGCGGUGAAAUGCGCAGAUAUCAGGAGGAACACCAAUGGCGAAGGCAGCUCGCUGGGACGGUACUGACGCUGAGACGCGAAAGCGUGGGGAGCAAACAGG
rnacentral:rRNA from 1 species